GGGUUGUGAGGUUAAGCGACUAAGCGUACACGGUGGAUGCCCUGGCAGUCAGAGGCGAUGAAGGACGUGCUAAUCUGCGAAAAGCGUCGGUAAGGUGAUAUGAACCGUUAUAACCGGCGAUGUCCGAAUGGGGAAACCCAGUGCAAUUCGUUGCACUAUCGUUAACUGAAUACAUAGGUUAACGAGGCGAACCGGGGGAACUGAAACAUCUAAGUACCCCGAGGAAAAGAAAUCAACCGAGAUUCCCCCAGUAGCGGCGAGCGAACGGGGAGCAGCCCAGAGUCUGAAUCAGCUUGUGUGUUAGUGGAACGGUCUGGAAAGUCCGACGGUACAGGGUGAUAGUCCCGUACACCAAAAUGCACAGGCUGUGAACUCGAAGAGUAGGGCGGGACACGUGGUAUCCUGUCUGAAUAUGGGGGGACCAUCCUCCAAGGCUAAAUACUCCUGACUGACCGAUAGUGAACCAGUACCGUGAGGGAAAGGCGAAAAGAACCCCGGCGAGGGGAGUGAAAAAGAACCUGAAACCGUGUACGUACAAGCAGUGGGAGCACCUUCGGGUGUGACUGCGUACCUUUUGUAUAAUGGGUCAGCGACUUAUAUUCUGUAGCAAGGUUAACCGUAUAGGGGAGCCGCAGGGAAACCGAGUCUUAACUGGGCGUUAAGUUGCAGGGUAUAGACCCGAAACCCGGUGAUCUAGCCAUGGGCAGGUUGAAGGUUGGGUAACACUAACUGGAGGACCGAACCGACUAAUGUUGAAAAAUUAGCGGAUGACUUGUGGCUGGGGGUGAAAGGCCAAUCAAACCGGGAGAUAGCUGGUUCUCCCCGAAAGCUAUUUAGGUAGCGCCUCGUGAACUCAUCUUCGGGGGUAGAGCACUGUUUCGGCUAGGGGGUCAUCCCGACUUACCAACCCGAUGCAAACUACGAAUACCGAAGAAUGUUAUCACGGGAGACACACGGCGGGUGCUAACGUCCGUCGUGAAGAGGGAAACAACCCAGACCGCCAGCUAAGGUCCCAAAGUCAUGGUUAAGUGGGAAACGAUGUGGGAAGGCACAGACAGCCAGGAUGUUGGCUUAGAAGCAGCCAUCAUUUAAAGAAAGCGUAAUAGCUCACUGGUCGAGUCGGCCUGCGCGGAAGAUGUAACGGGGCUAAACCAUGCACCGAAGCUGCGGCAGCGACACUAUGUGUUGUUGGGUAGGGGAGCGUUCUGUAAGCCUGCGAAGGUGACCUGUGAGGGUUGCUGGAGGUAUCAGAAGUGCGAAUGCUGACAUAAGUAACGAUAAAGCGGGUGAAAAGCCCGCUCGCCGGAAGACCAAGGGUUCCUGUCCAACGUUAAUCGGGGCAGGGUGAGUCGACCCCUAAGGCGAGGCCGAAAGGCGUAGUCGAUGGGAAACAGGUUAAUAUUCCUGUACUUGGUGUUACUGCGAAGGGGGGACGGAGAAGGCUAUGUUAGCCGGGCGACGGUUGUCCCGGUUUAAGCAUGUAGGCUGAUUGUCCAGGCAAAUCCGGAUAAUCAAGGCUGAGGUGUGAUGACGAGGCACUACGGUGCUGAAGUAACAAAUGCCCUGCUUCCAGGAAAAGCCUCUAAGCAUCAGGUAACAUUAAAUCGUACCCCAAACCGACACAGGUGGUCAGGUAGAGAAUACCAAGGCGCUUGAGAGAACUCGGGUGAAGGAACUAGGCAAAAUGGUGCCGUAACUUCGGGAGAAGGCACGCUGGUGUGUAGGUGAAGCCCCUGCGGGUGGAGCUGAGACCAGUCGAAGAUACCAGCUGGCUGCAACUGUUUAUUAAAAACACAGCACUGUGCAAACACGAAAGUGGACGUAUACGGUGUGACGCCUGCCCGGUGCCGGAAGGUUAAUUGAUGGGGUUAUCCGUAAGGAGAAGCUCUUGAUCGAAGCCCCGGUAAACGGCGGCCGUAACUAUAACGGUCCUAAGGUAGCGAAAUUCCUUGUCGGGUAAGUUCCGACCUGCACGAAUGGCGUAAUGAUGGCCAGGCUGUCUCCACCCGAGACUCAGUGAAAUUGAACUCGCUGUGAAGAUGCAGUGUACCCGCGGCAAGACGGAAAGACCCCGUGAACCUUUACUAUAGCUUGACACUGAACAUUGAGCCUUGAUGUGUAGGAUAGGUGGGAGGCUUUGAAGCGUGGACGCCAGUCUGCGUGGAGCCAACCUUGAAAUACCACCCUUUAAUGUUUGAUGUUCUAACGUUGGCCCCUGACCGGGGUUGCGGACAGUGUCUGGUGGGUAGUUUGACUGGGGCGGUCUCCUCCCAAAGCGUAACGGAGGAGCACGAAGGUUAGCUAAUCCUGGUCGGACAUCAGGAGGUUAGUGCAAUGGCAUAAGCUAGCUUGACUGCGAGCGUGACGGCGCGAGCAGGUGCGAAAGCAGGUCAUAGUGAUCCGGUGGUUCUGAAUGGAAGGGCCAUCGCUCAACGGAUAAAAGGUACUCCGGGGAUAACAGGCUGAUACCGCCCAAGAGUUCAUAUCGACGGCGGUGUUUGGCACCUCGAUGUCGGCUCAUCACAUCCUGGGGCUGAAGUAGGUCCCAAGGGUAUGGCUGUUCGCCAUUUAAAGUGGUACGCGAGCUGGGUUUAGAACGUCGUGAGACAGUUCGGUCCCUAUCUGCCGUGGGCGCUGGAGAAUUGAGGGGGGCUGCUCCUAGUACGAGAGGACCGGAGUGGACGCAUCACUGGUGUUCGGGUUGUCAUGCCAAUGGCACUGCCCGGUAGCUAAAUGCGGAAGAGAUAAGUGCUGAAAGCAUCUAAGCACGAAACUUGCCCCGAGAUGAGUUCUCCCUGAGACUUUAAGUCUCCUGAAGGAACGUUGAAGACGACGACGUUGAUAGGCCGGGUGUGUAAGCGCAGCGAUGCGUUGAGCUAACCGGUACUAAUGAACCGUGAGGCUUAACCUUACAACGCCGAAG
rnacentral:rRNA from 1 species